rnacentral:rRNA from 1 species
AGAGUUUGAUCCUGGCUCAGAACGAACGCUGGCGGCGUGGCUAAGGCACGCAAGUCGUACGGGACCAUCUGAGUAGCAAUACAAAGGUGGUUUAGUGGCGGACGGGUGAGUAAUGCAUGGGUAACGUACCUUGGACACGGGGAUAGCGGCGGGCCCGCAAGGGUCCUUUGCGAAAGUGCCGUUAAUACCCGGUAACAUCCACGGGCUUCAUGGUCUGUGGAUCAAAGGCGGGGACCGCAAGGCCUGUCAGUCUGAGAUCGGCCCAUGUCCUAUCAGCUAGUUGGUGAGGUAACGGCCCACCAAGGCGAUGACGGGUAGCCGGCGUGAGAGCGCGACCGGCCACAUCGGGACUGAGACACUGCCCGGACACCUACGGGUGGCUGCAGCAACGAAUAUUCCGCAAUGGGCGAAAGCCUGACGGAGCGACGCCGCGUGGAGGAUGAAGUCCUUCGGGAUGUAAACUUCAAUAGUUUGUCAGGAAGCAAGCCGACCUAAUACGUCGGCAAGUUGACCAGCAAACGAAAGAGGCGGCUAACUCCGUGCCAGCAGCCGCGGUAAGACGGAGGCCUCGAGCGUUGUUCGGAAUUACUGGGCUUAAAGCGCGUGUAGGCGGAGCGGUAAGCACCUUGUGAAAUCCCCGGUCUCAACCCGGGAAUUGCUUGGUGGACUGCCGUUCUUGAGGCAGGUAGGGGUCACUGGAACCUUAGUGGAGCGGUGAAAUGCGUAGAUAUCUAA